UGUGGUUGUUGAUUUAAUUCCCACUGGGUCCACAUGUGCAGAUCAGACCCUAGUGCUGCGACGUCUUGGAGAGUUUGGCGAUGUUGUGCGUAGCAUGGAAAACAAAAUGGACACUAUGCUGCAACAUUUCAGUGCCAAUGUGUCUGUUGGAGAGCUAUCCCUGGCAGGGGAUGUUUCUCCCCCUAGACACCCAGGAAGAUUUGGUGUUUCUUGACAGCAUUUUGAGGGAGGAUAAAGAGCUCCAGGAACGAUUUGGGCCCUCCGGAAGAACCCGGCAACCCAGGAUGCCACUGAUGAGGCGGUCCAGGUUAACGUUACACGUUACCUGAAAGGAGCAUCAGACUGUGAAGGAGGAAAAAGCCGCCCAGAUGAGAAGGACCCACAGCCAACCCCUUAAACCUAGGCUGACUACUGACACCCCAGCAUCCCUGAACUGGAACACUUUC